GCCAAUUGUCUAGGCCACUGGGUGCUGGAAGUUGCCUAUCUACAAUACAGGCAACAGUACCAUCAGGCUAUGGAUUUUCCACAGCACGAAAAAUACAGACACACAGCAUACAGACAAUUGGUCCAUUGGUGUUGGGGAGUUGUUGGUCGCCACCACAGACUACCGUUGCCCUCUUGAUGUGUGAGAAAGAUACGGGCCAGCUUCCCUAACCCUGAUGGACAGCCAUACACUGGUUUCAAGUGGCCAACGCUUUGACUGAUUUUCAUGAAUGACUGUCUUUUAUAUUGUAAUAUCAUGACCAGAAAUAUUAUUAUAAUGUAAAAUGAUAUUUUGACAGUAAACAUACUUUCAUGGUUUUGCCACA